rnacentral:rRNA from 1 species
CAGUCGCCGCGGUAAUACGGAGGAUCCAAGCGUUAUCCGGAAUCAUUGGGUUUAAAGGGUCCGUAGGCGGUCUUGUAAGUCAGUGGUGAAAGCCCAUCGCUCAACGGUGGAACGGCCAUUGAUACUGCAGGACUUGAAUUAUUGGGAAGUAACUAGAAUAUGUAGUGUAGCGGUGAAAUGCUUAGAGAUUACAUGGAAUACCAAUUGCGAAGGCAGGUUACUACCAAUUGAUUGACGCUGAUGGACGAAAGCGUGGGUAGCGAAAAGGAUUAGAGACCCCGUAGUCCCUGUCUCUUAUACA